ACUACUUUAGUUUAUUAAAACACUAUUUUUGUAAUAUAGAAAUCCUUAAACUAUCU
rnacentral:tRNA from 1 species